rnacentral:tmRNA from 1 species
GGGGUCGAUUGGAAUUGACAGAAAGUGAUAUUCUUAGAUAAGCAUGUGGAGUGUUGUUCUUUAGCUCCUUAAAACCAAAGUUCACUCGUCUUAACUGGCGAAAACAACUACGCGCUUGCAGCCUAGUUCCUUAGGAACGAAGCCUAAUUCAUUGCGCCAGGCGUAAUGAGGAAGCUACCCUGCUUUAAGUUUGUUUGUAGACGUUUAGCAUUGGGUAUCGUGAAAUACAAAUUGCGUUGUGCAGGUCUCGCUGCAUAACAAAGGUUUAGAGAAUAAGGCAAUGUUUAGUUUUUCUAAUGCUUGGCAUUGCUCGAAAAUUGAAUUAGAAUAAACAUGUAGAAAGUUUAAUAAUGCCUUUGCUGGACGAGGGUUCAAGUCCCUCCGACUCCACCA